rnacentral:miRNA from 1 species
UACAAUCCGACCAUCCUCCGC